UACGUAGGGUGCAAGCGUUAAUCGGAAUUACUGGGCGUAAAGCGUGCGCAGGCGGUGAUGUAAGACAGGUGUGAAAUCCCCGGGCUCAACCUGGGAAUGGCAAUGGAAACUGGCGGGCUUGAGUAUGGCAGAGGGGGGUGGAAUUCCGCGUGUAGCAGUGAAAUGCGUAGAGAUGCGGAGGAACACCGAUGGCGAAGGCAGCCCCCUGGGCCAAUACUGACGCUCAGGCACGAAAGCGUGGGGAGCAAACAGG
rnacentral:rRNA from 1 species